UGAUGAGCUGGUGAAUGAAAAAAGAGAGGAUGACAAGUACAAUGUUGCCCCUACAAUCAUAGGUAAAGUAGCAGACACCCUCUUUGGAAUAGCAUGUGAUGAGUUGGUGAAUGAAAAAGGAGAGAAUGACAAGUACAAUGUUCCCCCUACAAUCAUAGGUAAAGCAGCGGACACCCUCUUUGGAAUAGGAUGUGAUGAGCUGGUGAAUGAAAAAAGAGAGGAUGACAAAUACAAUGUUCCCCCUGCAAUAGAGAAGGCAAAGAAUCAGUAUCAUGUGUGGUGUAUUGGCUAUGGCAUUAGAGAUGAUUUCUUGGUGAAAGAUGUUUACCUCGAGAAUAGAGACGAUGAAGAGCUG
rnacentral:lncRNA from 1 species